rnacentral:lncRNA from 1 species
ACAACAGGUGAUCAGCCUAAAGUACCCUACGUUAUGCAUAACAUUUAAUCAUACUCGUGUGCGCACGUCGGUUUCCCGACAAUAUAUAAUUUCCCCUUCAAUGAGGGUUGUUCAUCUCAGUAGAUUUACGAUAGUCCGCACCAAGUCAAUUGGUUUGGAUAGCUUUAACACAAAAUAAUAGUCUAGUCGAAUCAAAGGCUUAGACAAUUUUUAUAAUGCAUUUAAGAACGAUA